UUGUGAGCUCAGCUAGAGUUGCAGAUCUAAGGAUCCUGCACCAAAUGACUCUCCCCUAUAAGCUACCCAAGGAUCCCCAGAGUGUCCUGACCCUUAGAAAUAGGAGGCUGGUGUUGAGAGCCAGGGGAGAUCCUGGAUGAAUAACUACACAAAGGGGCUCAGUCCUGGGGGAAGGCAGGGCUGGGCAGAAGCUACAGGCUGCAGAUGUAUUAUUCCUGAAGCACCUCUCUGAAGACGCAGGCUGUUCCCAUGGUAAUUUGAGUCAAACCAUGGGGGAAGUAGCUCAUCACUGCAUGGUCAGUUAGACAUAAUAUGUGAUUUUAGAUAACUUUCUUUGACUGAAUCUGUUAUCAAAAAUCAUUUCCACCUCUGGAGUUUACAUUGCUAUUUUUUAAAGAGAAAAACUGUGGAAAAGUGCAUCCUUAUGAAAAUAUCCCCCACUUUCUAUUCUCUCUGUUUCUCCCUCCCUCUCUCCCUCACUCUCUCUUCUCUCUGCUUUGAAGCCAUCAAAUUGAUUCAGCUCAAGGCUAAAUAUAGGGAUGACUAACAAUGAUUUCCACAAGAGCCUUAGAAAUCGCUUGUAAGCGAGCAAACGGAAAAUAGAUUAUCCAGCAACCACAUCAACCAGCGUUUGAGACAACAACCUAAAUCCAGCCACUGAAGUGAAAUGAAAAGUAAUGCUCUUUCCUCAGACGGCCUGUCAGCUGCAUCGCCUGAGCAGGAAGAAGGAAAUAUAUGGAUGUACAGGCCCUGGCAACGCAUGUCUAAUGAAUUGAUCAAGGUCCCAGGGCACUGAGGAAUGAAUGCUGAGCUGUUCCUGGAAGUGAGCCAGGAAUAGUGAUGUCUACUUCUGUGCAGCUGUGGAAUGCAUUCAAUUAUUCAGUGAAUAUGACAACGUUGUGAAGUCUGCAGGAAGAGCCUGGGGCUCUGAGAACUUACCUGUCCUGCUCAAAGUCAUAGAACUGAUGACCUCAGACUCAAGGCACUUACUGGCUCGGUUAGUAAGCUUGGACAAGUUGGAUUUCUCCAGGACUCAGUUUGCUCAUUGACAGAAUGGGAUUAACAGGGCUGUUAGGAAGAUUCCAUGACACAGGGUGAAGAUUAAAUGAUACAAGGUGUGUAGAGUGCCUCCAGUAUGAACAGGGACACCACUGCCUGAUAACUGUUAGCUAUUUUAACACAACUUAUAGCUGCUCCUGAGAGAGGCAGCUGGGUAAGGAGGAGAUACACAGCACUGUGAGAUAUAAUCCUAUAAGUGGUUUGUAACAUGGAUCUGACCAUACAGAGUGGAGUUACUGACCAAAAGGAUAAUAAUUCUACAUAGAGCUGCUUCUAUGAAUUCAUGGAAUUAUUCCUCUUAAUAUCCCAUCCUGUGAAAGAAAGUUGAGACUCAGAGAAAUGAAGUAAUUUUCUUAAAACACCUCAGUG
rnacentral:lncRNA from 12 species